UCGGCAAAAAAGAACGACGAAACUUAUAACAACAACGCACAUACAGUUUAUAUGUAAAUACCAAAGAAUGGUGAAUGAGAAUCAGUUUUAACUGUAACAUAAACGCACCAACACGGCGGUUGUGCUUUUCGCGCCAUACUCCCAAGUUAGAAAGUGGAACAGGAAUUUCCCUCAUUAAGGUAAAACAGCGUAAAACGGAGCAGCGCAAGCAGCGAAAUUCUCGCUACCGGCAACGAUCAACAGACCGAAAGCUUAAUUUGCGCUCGGGCUAGUAAGCGUGCACAUGUGGGUAUGCAUGUAAGUAAGCACACAUAGCGACGCUGUAGCGGCGCGUUGUUCCGAAUGCGAAGCGAUGAUUUCAUUUAUGUUAGCGCUGCAGCAGCGCAUUGCGAAACACUUGCCAUGGCCAACGGCAAGAGCAAGUGGAGCAAAAAUAGUUCACCAUUCCACACAUGUGGGACACUGCCACAGCGCUGGCAUUAAGCAGAGUAACAACAAUAGCAACAACAAUGACAACAGUCAGUGACCAACAGACAGACCGCACGUUUGGCUACCUCGACUCACACAUUGUGCCACUCUGUUCGUUACUGUCGUUAUUGUCGUUAUUGCUUUAUUUGCAGUUACAACUUCCACUAUCAUUCGCAACUCUUCAUUUCGGAACAUUUAGUUCGACAGAGCGCUUCACACUUCAUCACUCACAUCACCCACUAAAACGUAUGCACGUGUCUUGGCUACUUGCUUAACUUUUCUCUAAUUUGCGCUGCUCGCAGUCGUUUUGACCUAUUGGUGGAUACUUUUAGGAUGUGAGAUCUUGACCAAUAGCAGCGAUUAUUAUCAAAAAUACUUUGCUCUUUACGCUUGGACUUGGUCUACAAUAUUCAAGUUUCAUGCUUCUUCUUGUGUGAUCUCAAUCGCAUGCAGCAUGGCAUAUAAACACCGAAAACUAUUCGUAUCGAAAGCACACGUUCUGUUAUUAUUACCACCUGAUUACGAUGUGUCUACGAGUGCAUAACGAACUACAUACAUAAAUACACACAUGCAAAGUGUACGACUUCGUAAGUACUAUAUGUACUGACCCAGUGAGGAAAAUAACAGGUGACACUUUGGUGCCCUUUUUGAUGACAUUCAUAACCAGCUGAUGAUUUGGUCUGGACCUGAACUCAAAUUGAGGUGCUAUAAACAAGAUCUUAUACAAUGGAUGGAUCUGCAUCAUUAAGUCUCAUUAAAUCGGCUAAUGGAUUUUAGAUCAGCAAAACCCUCUGAAGUUUAUCUUACCUACCGAAGCACAUGUACAUAUGUACAUUUGGUCAUAUUUCGUUCCACUGAGUGCUAAGCACAUACUGAGCCUACGAACGGUAUUCACAAAUACUCUUUAGUGACAAAUUUGGUAUUUCUAGACUAAUUCUAAAUAAUUUACUCGCAAACGUUUCCAUCAUCCCAAAAUUUCCUACAAGGUAAUCAUAGGUACGAGCUGAACGAACGCACAUUGCGCAAACAAAUUACAACUGCUACGUAUGCGUGUGUUUGUAUACAUGAAUGCGGGUACGUAAGUGUGUCCAAUUGAAUGCCGAUUCGUAUAGUUAAGAAUUUCGAAACGACCUAUGACAAUAUUUAGUUGCCUAAUCACAAAAUAGAGUUACUGUGCUAUUCCUCUUUGAUUUGAAAUAUUUGAAAUAUCCGAAACGGACGAAUUUGCAGAAAUUUGAAAGUAGAAAUUGUUCUUAUUCAAAGAUGAAUAAACGUUUAAUUCAUUCUAGGUUUUUAUAUAAGAAUAUAUUGAA
rnacentral:lncRNA from 1 species